GGGCGAAUGGUUUAGUGGUAUAAUACUCCCUUAGCAUGACGUGACUACCGACCUCCUGGGUCUAGGUCAUCAGUGUAGCCACUGGGAGUGGUCCAGGGUUCGAUUCCCUGUUCGUCCA